rnacentral:rRNA from 1 species
GGCAGCACGGGUGCUUGCACCUGGUGGCGAGUGGGAAAGGGGGAGUAAUGCGUCGGAACGUACCGAGUAAUGGGGGAUAACGCAGCGAAAGUUGUGCUAAUACCGCAUACGCCCUGAGGGGGAAAGUGGGGGAUCGUAAGACCUCACGUUAUUCGAGCGGCCGACGUCUGAUUAGCUGGUUGGUGGGGUAAAGGCCUACCAAGGCGACGAUCAGUAGCGGGUCUGAGAGGAUGAUCCGCCACACUGGGACUGAGACACGGCCCAGACUCCUACGGGAGGCAGCAGUGGGGAAUUUUGGACAAUGGGGGCAACCCUGAUCCAGCCAUUCCGCGUGAGUGAAGAAGGCCUUCGGGUUGUAAAGCUCUUUCAGCUGGAACGAAACGGUCCGCUCUAACAUAGCGGGCUAAUGACGGUACCAGCAGAAGAAGCACCGGCUAACUACGUGCCAGCAGCCGCGGUAAUACGUAGGGUGCGAGCGUUAAUCGGAAUUACUGGGCGUAAAGCGUGCGCAGGCGGAUUGUUAAGCAAGACGUGAAAUCCCCGGGCUUAACCUGGGAAUGGCGUUUUGAACUGGCAGUCUAGAGUGCGUCAGAGGGGGGUGGAAUUCCACGUGUAGCAGUGAAAUGCGUAGAGAUGUGGAGGAACACCGAUGGCGAAGGCAGCCCCCUGGGAUGACACUGACGCUC